rnacentral:rRNA from 1 species
UACGGAGGGGGCGAGCGUUUUUCGGAAUUAUUGGGCGUAAAGGGCGCGUAGGCGGCUGUACAAGUCAAAGGUGAAAUCCCUCGGCUCAACUGAGGAACUGCCUUUGAAACUGUACGGCUUGAGGCCGGGAGGGGGUAGCGGAAUUCCCAGUGUAGCGGUGAAAUGCGUAGAUACUGGGAGGAACACCAGUGGCGAAGGCGGCUACCUGGACCGGUUCUGACGCUGAGGCGCGAAAGCGUGGGUAGCAAACAGG